CCCCUUUAAAACAUGAUCACACAAGCUGGUGGUUUUUUUUGUUGCUAAUUUGUAAUGUGUCGUACACCUACUGCACCAAUCGAUCUGUGCUUUUGUGUUUGAAUUUUGAUAUUGAGAUCAAAGAUGGCUGAGGAAUCCAGUUCCGUCUCAAUAGUGUACAAUAAUUUCCCACAAUCUACAUGACCUGUGAGUUCAGUGUUUGGCAGGCUGGAGCCAAAACCCUUUUAAAAAGUGGCUUUUCAUGUAAUUUCAAUGAUGGCUGUAGGAGUAUUUUUUUUUUCUUUUGAAAGAUGAGUAAAAAGA